rnacentral:lncRNA from 1 species
AUGCGGGGCCGGAUGGCGCAGAUCUGGCCCGUGGUCCGGGAGCACCUCGGACGGGCCCAGCAGGCCCAAGCCCGGGUAUACAACCGAGGGGCCCAGCUCCGCACCUUCAACCCGGGGGACCAGGUGCUGGUCCUCGUCCCGACCGCCGAGUGUAAGUUCCUGGCCAAAUGGCAGGGUCCCUACGACGUCAUCGAGCGGGUCGGCGACGUCAACUACCGGGUGCGGCAACCGGGGAGACGCAAGGACGUCCAGGUCUACCACAUCAACCUGCAUCCACCGACAGCCCCGCGAGAACCAGACCUCCUGUCCGAGGUGGGGCUGGGAGCGGUCUUAUCCCAGGUCCGGUCGGGCGAGGAGCACCCGGUGACCUAUAUCAGCCGGAAACUCCUGGCCAGCGAGAAAGCCUACUCGACUGUGGAGAAGGAGGUGCUGGCGAUAAAGUGGACACUGGAGAAACUUCGCUACUACCUCCUCGGACGCACCUUCACCCUGGUCACAGACCACGCCCCCCUGAAGUGGAUGGCCACGGCCAAGGACACCAACGCCCGGGUGACGCGCUGGUUCCUGGCUCUGCAGGAUUACCACUUCCAGGUGGUCCACCGCCUCGGACGCGCACAUGCCAACGCCGACGCACUGUCCCGGAGGGACGCCUGCCUAGGCCUGUCCCGGGGGGUCCCCGACUUGCAGCUGAGGGUGGGGGUGUGUGGCAACCCCGAUCCGACGGAGGAGUUCGAGCCCCGCAAGUGCCCUCUCCGCGGGCAGGUAGUCCGCGGGAGAUAUGUGCCGCUCGGCGCGGCGACGCGGGAGCGCGCAUCGAGCGCACCCGCGCAAUCACGGAGAUGCGGAGCACCCGGCGGAGGGAGACGGCGGAGGGUUCUUAAGGACCGAGCGCGCACCAGUCAUGGAAGUGCGUCCGAGCUGGAGAGACGCGGUAGGGGGAGACUUCCGAGGCCCACGCUACUACUGACAUUUCGCCUCUCCCCAGGACUAAGCAGCAGGAGACCCAAGGGAGUGAGACGCCGACCCAAGGGAGGACCAGCCCCGGGGCGGUUCCCUUUUCUCCCCAGACCAGGAAGA